rnacentral:rRNA from 5 species
UACGGAGGGGACUAGCGUUGUUCGGAAUUACUGGGCGUAAAGCGCGCGUAGGCGGAUUUGCAAGUCGGGGGUGAAAGCCCGAGGCUCAACCUCGGAACUGCCUUCGAUACUGCAAAUCUCGAGUCCGAGAGAGGUGAGUGGAAUUCCUAGUGUAGAGGUGAAAUUCGUAGAUAUUAGGAAGAACACCAGUGGCGAAGGCGGCUCACUGGCUCGGUACUGACGCUGAGGCGCGAAAGCGUGGGGAGCAAACAGG